AUUUGUUUAAUUUUCAGAUACAUAUGCCCAAUAUAUUUUACUGUAUACGUUAUACUUUGGGACAUGUUAAGGGUUUGCUGGGUUUAUGACUACUGGCAAUGUAACAGAACAGCACAUGUAUCUCUUUGCAUUCAAUGCCUCAAACAAACUAAAAUGGUGGUAAGAAUGUUGUGUGCUAAUAAUUUGUUCUGAGGACAUCAAACCUACAUUGUUUUACAGACAGUGACGUCAAUAUAUAUGUGUAUUUAUAAUAAGUUGUGAAAGGAGAGCAGUUCAGGGGCAAAAAUUGGCACAUCAAUCUAUAGCAAUCUAUAGGUUAUUUGCCAAUUUUCUAAAUGCGGAGAUUCAAUAGGUAGUAGC